UCCCGUCAAAAAAAGUCCCCCAACUACAUGUCGGCCACCCCAAAUCCCGGCGGCGGCGGCCGCCGCCGGAAGUGGACGAGCGCCACACGGGCGUGCUGGGGCUCUACCUGCACCCGGACUGCCGGACAUCGACCUCAAGAAGCUGUGUUGGCUCCUCCUCAAGGCCAAGCUCGCGCCAUGCCUCCCAAUGGAUCGAUAGAUAGAGCGUCGCGGGUGGAGAGGCGGCCGGCCGGUGGAAGGGGCAGCCUCUCGAUUAUUGGUUCUCGGAGGUGCGACAAAGCCGAGGAAGAAGCCAGGCGCCUGAUUCCCCGCGGAGGCAGAGUAGGGCGGCUCGAGCGUGCGAUGAGCUUCUCGACUGGAGCUCGCCGUCGGCGGCGAGUGCGGGUGGCCAGCUCACGCCGUCUCAACCCUCUGCCUCUCCCUCACAUACGACUCGCGCCGUCGCUGCGUUCCCCAUUCUUUUCCCGUGCUUUUCGAUUGGCCCGGCGGUGAGCUGCAGUGCCGCUAGCUCGUCGGCGACGGCUACGACGCCAUCUGUGCCGUCCCUUGGUCCCUUCCCCCGGCAGCAACCUUCUUGACGGUCUGGUCUUCCUCCUCCCCCCUCCCUUAAUUUCUAGGGUUUUGAAGUUGGUUCAGUAGUUAAUUCACGGUCCAUGAGUUUGUGUAGAACGACAGGUGGCGGCGGAAAGAGCCAUUCCAUGACGGAUCUCUGAUGAGAGGGCCAGCAAAAUGUAAUCAAUCAAUGGAGACGAAGUAUUUGUCCAAUUGUUUGCAAGGCUGGCUGUACGAUCUCCGCAGAUUGGCGCUUCUUUGUUCUGCCAGUGGAGAUUCAGUGUAUCACUGCAAAUUCCUUACACCGGCAGUGUAUCAU